AGAGUUUGAUCAUGGCUCAGGAUGAACGCUAGCUACAGGCUUAACACAUGCAAGUCGAGGGGCAGCAUGGUCUUAGCUUGCUAAGACUGAUGGCGACCGGCGCACGGGUGAGUAACACGUAUCCAACCUGCCGUCUACUCUUGGACAGCCUUCUGAAAGGAAGAUUAAUACAAGAUGGCAUCAUGAGUCCGCAUGUUCACAUGAUUAAAGGUAUUCCGGUAGACGAUGGGGAUGCGUUCCAUUAGAUAGUAGGCGGGGUAACGGCCACCUAGGUCUUCGAUGGAUAGGGGUUCUGAGAGGAAGGUCCCCCACAUUGGAACUGAGACACGGUCCAAACUCCUACGGGAGCA
rnacentral:rRNA from 1 species